AUGCUAUGGGAUUCCGGUGAUCUCGAUGUCGAAGGAGAUGCGCAACGAGAUGGACUCAGCGCCGGUGAGCCUGCUCCAAGGAUGGAGGAUGAGGCGGAACCGGGGGGCGCGGAAGGGGGCCGCAACCACGCGCGCACGGGUAGCCGCAUCCACGAACCGCAAGAGGAACUCGUCGUCACGGCCGCGAUGGACGGAGAACGUGUCUGGGCCGAGACAGAAGUACGCAGAGAGCGCGUCGGCAAUGUCAGCCGCGGAGACGCCAUGCCAGUUCCCAGCGACCAUGGCGAUGAAAGCCAGGUCAAGAGCACGCUCAGCCUCCUCGAGCCACGCGGUGCGUGGUAUGUAGCAGAUGACACCAAUCGGGCGGAGCGCGGGGUGACCCAUCAUGGCGAUGGCCGCAGGAGCAGAGCCUGCCACGCCAGAGGGGGGCGGCGGGGAGGCGGAGCUGGGGGCGGGUGA
rnacentral:rRNA from 1 species